GUUCCUGCAAAAGAAGAAGAGUGAGAGAGAAGAACUGAGAGAAAGUUUGAGAGAGAAAACUGAUUUGCGGGAGUUUUCAUCGGAGAAUCGCCGACGGAAUCCAUUCCCUACUAAGACCUAUACUCUGGAGCCCUUCUUGGAGUGAAGUAAGAACUCGCGUUGAGAUUUUCUCCUCUUUCAUCAAGAUCAGAAAGACAACCCGCAAGGGAAGAUCCGCCACUGAUCUUGGUGAGGAAAACGGACGAAACGACGAGAUCUGAGAAACUAUCCAAGAACGGAGGAGAGAGAAGCCGCGCAGCGCGCCACGUGUCAACCAACCAGAGGACCUGCGAGCGCCAAUCACCCCCGGACACGCGUCGAGCGCCGCCUGGGAAAACGCGGCUCCAGCCUCCUUGCGACACGCGUCCCUGGCAACGCAACUCGACCCGCGCCCGUCGGCCUACUCGAUAUCUGCACGGCGGGCCAAACCGAACCGACAAACCGCGGUCCACCCGAGCCACUGCGUCCGAACCGAACCCGCGACCCGCGACUGCAGAAAACUCUGGGCGCGUAACACUCGCGCAUGGAACCUGCGAGUGAAUACUCCCCGGCGCGUGGCUGGCGCGUGGAAGCGCGUGACCAAAUUGAGGAAAAGUCACCGCCUUUCGAUACGUCAAGUGUGUGAAAACGCUGCGUAAGGACACGCGUCGUCCGGGUAAGUCACCGCACGGGAUUUUAAGAAGUAAUACUUGUAGGAGUCGCUUGGAAUGCAUGCAUGCUAGUAUAAUCAUCUUAGGGCGUAGUUUCUCGUGACAGUAUGUAGGUAUUUGAUUAUUAAAGUAAAAUGCAUUAUGUGAAUGACUAUGAGAAUUGCCUGAGUAUUGUUAUUAAGUUUAAAGUUUCUGCUUAUUAUGUUUAUGGAUAUUCUAUGCUGAAAGGAGGAUGAGAAUUUGUGAAAUCUGUGCUCUGGGAGUUGAUGGACGUUAUCGCCCCGUUGAGCUUAUAUGUUUACCUCGCAUGAAUAUUGUUUAAUGAUGUUAGAUGUUAGUUAUGUACGAAUUCAGCUAAUUUCUAUGGCCACUUUUAUGAUUAAGUCCAGAGAUUCAUGGUUAGAGCGUCAAGUCACCAAGAAAUAGACUUAAUCUUUCCCUAUGAGUUUAACAGACCAUCACAGCACAUGAAAUACCUUUAGAGUACCCUUAGGCUACUUGUGUGUGGAUGGUGAUAUAGCUUCGUGGGGGACCAGCGGGUUCCUGAUCAGGACUCGACUGCUCGAUAGCCGCUUAGUAUGGGAAACGGGAUACCCACGUCGUAAUUGACCGUUUAGCUGGAUGGAAUAGGGGAGGUAGCCCUCCUAAAUACAGGGGGAUUAUCUUGGGACUAGGGGGUUGCAGCUCACUUCCUAGGCGAGACCCCAGGUAAUCUCAUACCCAUACCGAGGUAGCCACUCGCAAGGCACCAGCCCAACACAGGUUAGCAUAAAAGUAACUCUAGGGGUAUAAAUAAAAGGUCUGAGAACCAAAGAAGUCCGAAGGGACAAGUCCCAAGGGGAAAAGCCCUAAUGAACUAAGACCAAUAUCAGUUGUUCUAGAGCCGAAGGGAAGUCCGUGAUCAUUUGCUAAGUUUAGGGUGCGACAAGAGCUUACAAGUAGGUGGCUUACUGAGUAUAAAUUUUAUACUCAUUCCUGUUAUACCUUUUUUUUCAGGUACGUGAGGCGUCGAGUCUAGAGAGGGCGCGUUGAUCGACGUGGGUUGUCGCAGAGGAAGCGUGUCCCGGGGCGUCAAUCUAGUUUACUAAAUAGUACACUUUGUCUCUCAUGUUUCUUUCCUUGUUUUUACCUAGGCACAUAUGUCCUUUUUAGUAAAGAAACGUUUUUCUUACAAAAUAAAUGAAAUUCUUUUGCCGUAAAU